rnacentral:rRNA from 1 species
AUUGAACGCUGGCGGCAGGCCUAACACAUGCAAGUCGAGCGGAUGAAGGGAGCUUGCUCCUGGAUUCAGCGGCGGACGGGUGAGUAAUGCCUAGGAAUCUGCCUGGUAGUGGGGGAUAACGUCCGGAAACGGGCGCUAAUACCGCAUACGUCCUGAUGGAGAAAGUGGGGGAUCUUCGGACCUCACGCUAUCAGAUGAGCCUAGGUCGGAUUAGCUAGUUGGUGGGGUAAAGGCCUACCAAGGCGACGAUCCGUAACUGGUCUGAGAGGAUGAUCAGUCACACUGGAACUGAGACACGGUCCAGACUCCUACGGGAGGCAGCAGUGGGGAAUAUUGGACAAUGGGCGAAAGCCUGAUCCAGCAAUGCCGCGUGUGUGAAGAAGGUCUUCGGAUUGUAAAGCACUUUAAGUUGGGAGGAAGGGCAGUAAGUUAAUACCUUGCUGUUUUGACGUUACCAACAGAAUAAGCACCGGCUAACUUCGUG